CUUCUUGUAGAACCGUAAUGCCAUUAAUUUGGUGUUGCGGGGAAACAGGACUGUUACUUUGAAAAAAUUAGAGUGUUUAAAGCAGGCUAGCGCCUGAAUACAUUAGCAUGGAAUAAUGAAAUAGGACGUUCGAACCUAUUUUGUUGGUUUCUAGGAUUGACGUAAUGAUUAAUAGGGAUAGUUGGGGGCAUUAGUAUUCAAUUGUCAGAGGUGAAAUUCUUGGAUUUAUUGAAGACUAACUACUGCGAAAGCAUUUGCCAAGGAUGUUUUCAUUAAUCAAGAACGAAAGUUAGGGGAUCGAAAACGAUCAGAUACCGUCGUAGUCUUAACCAUAAACUAUGCCGAC
rnacentral:rRNA from 1 species